GAUGAACGCUAGCGGCAGGCUUAAUACAUGCAAGUCGAGGGGCAGCACGAAUAGCAAUAUUUGGUGGCGACCGGCGCACGGGUGCGUAACACGUAUACAACCUACCUAUAACAGGGGGAUAGCCUUUCGAAAGAGAGAUUAAUACCCCGUAAUAAAUUGAGUGGCAUCACUUGAUUUUGAAAGCUACGGCGGUUAUAGAUGGGUAUGCGUCUGAUUAGCUAGUUGGUGAGGUAACGGCUCACCAAGGCGACGAUCAGUAGGGGAUCUGAGAGGACUAACCCCCACACUGGUACUGAGACACGGACCAGACUCCUACGGGAGGCAGCAGUAAGGAAUAUUGGUCAAAUGGGAGGCAACUCUGAACCAGCCAUGCCGCGUGCAGGAUGACGGCCCUAUGGGUUGUAAACUGCUUUUGUACCAGAGAAAACCUACUCACGUGUGAGUAGCUG
rnacentral:rRNA from 1 species